GUAGCGAAGCUGAAUUUCAGAAGGCAACGGGAAACCACUGCACUAUUUUCCCUAGUCGUCAGGAUGGAAAAGUCUCAGAGAGUGGACCGGGAUCGCGAGCGCCGCACAAUUAUUUCGCCUCGCGA
rnacentral:lncRNA from 1 species